UCUCUCUGUCCACACACCUGCGUCCCUCCACAUACCCCAGACCUACGUCAACACACCAUGGACUGCUGCAAACCGGACUGCAGGGCUACCUGGUCUUUACUGAAGAGCGUGGAGCUGUGACACGGGACAGGGGAGAAGGAGUCAAGGGAUGUGUCUGAAAUGGCACCCUAUGUGCAUAUAAGGAAUAGGGUGCCAAUUUGGACACAGGGAGAGCGAGCAACCCUGUCCUGGGGCCUACAUAGUGGGAGUAGAAUGGGGAGAGAGAUGCCAAGGCGGUCAACCGACAAGUAGUCUCAUGUUAUCCUCCCCCCCCAUCUCUCUCUCUCUCUCUUUCUCUCUCUCUCUCCCUACAACUUUCUAUCUGACUUCACACUCGCUCUCUACCCCAGUUAUCCUCCACCCCCCCCCCCCCCUCUCUCUCUCUCUCCCUACAACUUUCUAUCUGACUUCACACUCGCUCUCUACCCCAGUUAUCCUCCCCCCCCCCUCUCUCUCUCUCUCUCUCCCUACAACUUUCUAUCUGACUUCACACUCGCUCUCUACCCCAGUUAUCCUCCACCCCCCCUCUCUCUCUAUCUCUCCCUACAACUUUCUAUCUGACUUCACACUCGCUCUCUACCCCAGUUAUCCUCCACCCCCCCCCCUCUCUCUCUCUAUCUCUCCCUACAACUUUCUAUCUGACUUCACCCUCUCUUUACCCCAGGUAUCCUCCCACCCCCCUCUCUCUCCACAUCACAGAUAUUCCCUCCCUCCAUCCUUAUCCUCUGAAGCUGUGGAGUGUGACAAUGGUGUUUGUGUCCUCUGCAAUCAAACGCCAUUAUCACACUAAAUAGCUACGGUUAGAAGAGAACAACGUCACCGUGACCACAUGGUCUAAAUAUGGCCAAUCAGAAGAGGGGAGAAUAAAAGCCACAAGUUGCAGUUCACAUGGUCUGUGGUCACUCAAACAGAGAUACUGAUGGUGAAGUUUGGGCCAUGGUUUUGCCUUAUUCUCUCUUCACAGGCCUCACAUGUUGUUGUAGCUGGUUUGGAUCACAUGCUGACUGAAAUGUAAGUUAUUCAAAUAGAAGUGUGAUACCUUGACAAAACAUGAAGCUUCAGAUGAUUGCUGACCCAUUUCCCUCUCUGCCUACAUGUGAGGUGAUAAUGUGUUACUAAGGUAAAGAUGUGAUAUUUUAGAAACCGAAAUACAUGAACCAUUAUGGGAGGUUAUAGUGUAAAUAUGGCCAAUCAGAAGAGGGGAGAAUAAAAGCCACAAGUUGCAGCUCACUCAUUUUGUGGAAAGCUCCAGCCAGUGCAUGUGCGCACACACACACACACACACACACACACACACACACACACACACACACACACACACACACACACACACACACACACACACACACACACACACACACACACACACACACACACACACACACACACACACACACACACAGUAUUUACUCCCUCUCUGCCACUUGAGCCAGGGUACACACACCCUCACCUUGAACUAGCAGGUUUAUAACAUAGAGGUCAAUAAUAGGGCCUUUAUUCAUUACAGAACUCACAUUCACUUGAAAGAGCCGUGCCCCCAAAAAUCAUAUCUAACUAAUCUCAAACAUCAAUCACGGCUCCAAAGAAGUAUUACUCUCUAUUAGGAAUAGGCAGUAUCCGAUUACAUAUAACCAACAUCCCAAAGGUGAUUUAAAUCAUUUGUUUGAAAUUGUGUGAAUGAAUAACUCAGACAUUUUAUUUGUAUUUAUUAUGGAUCCCCAUUAGCUGCUGCAAAAUUAAGGCAGUUUAUACAAUUUUAAAAACAUUACAAUACAUUCACAGACUGUGUGCCCUCAGGCCGCUCCUCCACCACUACCACGUACAGUGGGGCAAAAAAGUAUUUAGUCAGCCACCAAUUGUGCAAGUUCUCCCACUUAAAAAGAUGAGAGAGGCCUGUAUUUUUCAUCAUAGGUACACUUCAACUAUGACAGACAAAAUGAGAAAAAAAAUCCAGAAAAUCACAUUGUAGGAUUUUUUAUGAAUUUAUUUGAAAAUUAUGGUGGAAAAAAAGCAUGCUGCUCCACUCUGGCCCAUGUUGACUCUAAUGCUUCCAUAGUUGUGUCAAGUUGGCUGGAUGUCCUUUGGGUGGUGGACCAUUCUUGAUACACACUGGAAACUGCAGCGUUGCAAUUCUUCACACUGAAACUGGUGCACCUGGAACCUACUACCAUACCCUGUUUAAAGGCACUUAAAUUGUGUGUAUUGUCCAUUCACUCUCUGAAUGGCACACAAGCCAUGUCUCAACUGUCUCAAGGCUUAGAAAUCUUUCUUUAAUCUGUCUCCUCCCCUUCAUCUACACUGAUUGAGGUGGAUUUAACAGGUGACAUCAAUAAGGGAUCAUAGCUUGGAUUCACCUGGUCAGUCUAUCAUGGAAAGAGCAGGUGUUCCUAAUGUUUUGUACACUCAGUGUGUGUAAACCAGUGUAAUGUGUCAGACCAUAGGGUAGGCCUCCUGUUGACCAGUUACAGUAUGGCAAAGUUAAUGCUGGAUAAAUAGUAUGGACUAGAAUAGAGUAAAAUAGAAUUUAAAAUACCAUACAAUACAAUAAAAUAGAAUACAUUUCAACACACAUUAGAAUGAAAGUCAACUGUAUAGUUUGCACACUAUUUAAUAAUUGCAGUUCUUCUGGAUGUGAAUAACACCAGCUGCUUCUAUCAGGCGACAUGCUGACUUCUGUCCUGGUGUUGUUAUGAGUUAAGAGUCUCACAAUGGGACUUCCCUGUUUAAAUAAAGGUCAAAAAAUAAAUAAAGAGUUGGUUUCCAAUAAAAGAAGUGGCCACAGUGGAGACCAGUAAGGAAAACACAGCAGACCUCAGAAAGAAAGAAAGAGAAGUAAUUCAUUUGGACACAAUAAUGAAUGAAUGACACAACGAUUUGGUUACCAUGUGGAAAUGAUUUAAUAGAAUCUGCAUCGGCUACAGUGAAUAGAAAAGAUCAACAACAUGUACAAAAACGUGGCCAUGUUAUUAAAUUAAAUUAGACUUCAGACUUGACUGAACAAAUUCAUAUACUGUAUUGACAUAUGGAUCAUUGCAGAGAGUAAAAGAGUAUCAGUGUUGACAGAUUAGUAGUCCAACCACCAGUCUUUUGAAGGUACAUGACGAUAACAUUUGUUCUGAUAAGGUUGAGUCCAGCCUGGGGCCAUUGUACCAUCUGAGGAAAGCCCUGCCAGGAAGUUGGUGAGCCGGCCUGGUGCUAAGCUCAUCCUCUGUGGAUGACAUCACGUCAAGGGAUAACGUAUGUAGAACCAUUAUAAAUUAGUUUUGGCCAUAGGGUAUGACAAAGUCAGGCUACAAUUGAACUACUUUAGGUCACUAUAAAAGCACUGUAUUGUUAAAAGAUGAUGAGUUAGUGAGAUCUGAGCAAAUCAAAUAUCGUAAGUGCUGUUUCAGUCUAAUGCAUCCAUUUCAAGAUAUUUUCUAUCUAAUCUUUUGUCUUUAAUCUCUGUUCAUAAUGUCCUUUGAAUAUACAGUAUUAUAGAAACACAAAUAUGAGUUAUUUUGAAUAUGAAUAAGUAACAAUAUUGUGAUGUUUGUCACUAAAUGCUGGCAUGAAGAGUUCUGUAGCUGCUAUUCCUUCACAGUCUUUGAAUAAUGUUAAGAUAAUGAUCACAGGCAAGACUGAGACCAACUCAAACAUCAUAAUAGCUGUAAUUUCAAUGAUUGCUGGUUGCGUAUUCAGUAUUUCAAUAACCAAGAAUAAUGACAAGUUGAUUGACUGAUAUUCAAUUCCUCAUUAGCUGACCAAUUUGUGAGAAGGUGAUGCUCCGGGAGUGAGAAAGCGGUCUAUAUUCGCUUUCUUGGCAUGGGAAAACAUAUGUUUACAUUGCAAAAGCAAGUGAAGUAGAUAAUAAACAAAAGUGAAACAAACAAUAAAAAUGUACAGUACACAUUACACUCACAAAAGUUCCGAAAGAAUGAAGACAUUUCAAAUGUCAUAUGUCUAUAUACAGUGUUGUAAUGAUGUGCAAAUAGUUAAAGUACAAAGGGGAAAAUAAAUCAUCAUAAAUAUAGGUUGUAUUUAAAAUGGUGUUUGUUCUUUACUGGCUUGCCCUUUUUUUGUGGCAACAGGUAACAAAUCUUGCAUAUUUCACCCAAUAGAUAAGGGAGUUGAUCAAAAUUGGAUUUGUUUUCUAAUUCUAUGUUAGUCUGUGUAAUCUGAUGGAAAUAUGUGUCUCUAUUUGGUCAUACAUUUGGCAGGAGGUUAGGAAGUGCCGUUAAAUUUCCACCUCAUUUUCUGGGCAAGGUGCAAAUAGCCCGUCUUCUCCUGAGAGCCAGGUCUGCAUUCGGCGGCCUUUCUCAAUAGCAAGGCUAUUGCCCACUGAGUCUGUACAUAGUCAAAGAUGUCCUUAAUAUUGGUCAGUUAUUCUGCCACUGUGUUCUCUCGAAUUAGGGCCAAAUAGCAUUCUAUUUGCUCUGUUUUUUUGUAAAUUCUUUCCAAUGUGUCAAGUAAUUAUCUUUUAGUUUUCUUGUGAUUUAUGCUGGGUCUAAUUGUGUUACUGUCCUGGGGCUCUUUGUGUUUGUGAACAAAGCCCCAGGACCAGCUUGCUUAGGGGUCUCUUCUCCGUGUUAAUUUCUCUGUAGGUGAUGGAAGGUUUAUGGAAGGUUUAGGAAUCACUUUAUUUUAGGUGGUUGUAGAAUUUAUCAGCUCUUUUCUGUAUUUAAACAUUUGUGGGAAUCGGCCUGAUUCUGCUCUGGUGUUUUACAUUGUACACUGAGGAUAUUUUUGCAGAAUUCUGCAAGAAGAGUCUCAAUUUGGUGUUUCUCCCAUUUUGUGAAUUCUUGGUUGGUGAGCAGACACAAGACCUCACAAACGUAAAGGGCAAUGGGUUAUAUAACUGAUUCAUUUAUUUUUAGCCAGAUCCUAAUUGGUAUGUCUAAUUUUAUGUUCCUUUUGAAGGCAUAGAAGGCCCUUCUCGCCUUGUCUCUCAGAUCGUUCACAGCUUUGUGGAAGUUACCUGUGGCGCUGAUGUUUAUGCCGAAGUAUGUAUCGUUUUUGUGUGUUCAAGGGAAACGGUGUCGAGAUGGAAUUUGUAUCUGUCUAGCAUGGUCACUAGAUGGCAGUGUUGGGUGAAUUUAAAAUCAACACACUUAUCAUUGCGAUAUCUUCACAUGAUAUGACAUAGAGGUCCUUGCAAAAGUAUUCAUCCCCCUUGGUGUUUUCCCUAUUUUGGUGCAUUACAACCUGUAAUUUAAAGAGAUUUUUAUUUGGAUUUCAUGUAAUGGACAUGUACAAAAUAGUCCAAAUUGAUGAAGUGAAAUUCAAAAUGGAAAAGUGGUACAUGCAUAUGUAUUCAACCCCUUUGCUAUGAAGCCCCUAAAUAAGAUCUGGUGCAACCAAUUACCUUCAAAAAUCACAUCGUUUUUUAAAUAAAGUCCACAUGUGCGCAAUCUAAGUGUCACAUGAUCUGUCACAUGAUCUCAGUAUAUAUACACCUAUCCUGAAAGGACCCAGAGUCUGUAACACCACUAAGCAAGGGGCACCACCAAGCAAGCAGCACCAUGAAGACCAAGGAGCUCUCCAAACAGUUCAGGGACAAAGUUGUGGAGAAGUACAGAUCAGGGUUGGGUUAUGAAGAAAUAUCUGAAACUUUGAACAUCCCACGGAGCAACAUUAAAUCCAUUAUUAAAAAAUGGAAAGAAUAUGGCACCACAACAAACUUGACAAAACUCACGGACCAGGCAAGGAGAGCAUUAAUCAAAGAGGAAACAAAGAGACCAAAGAUAACCCUGAAGGAGCUGCAAAGCUCCACAGUGGAGAUUGGAGUAUCUGUCCAUAGGACCACUUUAAGCCGUAAACUCCACAGAGCUGGGCUUUACAGAAAAGUGGCCAGAAAAAAGCCAUUGCUUCAAGAAAGAAAUAAGCAAACACGUGUAAUGUUCUCCAAAAGGCAUGUGGGAGACUCCCCAAACAUAUGGAAGAAGGUACUCUGGUCAGAUGAGACUAAAAUUGAGCUUUUUGGCUAUCAAGGAAAAUGUCUGCCGCAAACCCAACACCUCUCAUCACCGGCUGGCACUGGGAAACUGGAAUUGAAGCAAUGAUGGAUGAUGCUAAAUACAGGGAAAUUCUUGAGGGAAACCUGUUUCAGUCUUCAAGAGAUUUGAGACUGGGACAGAGGUUCACCUUCCAGCAAGAAAAUUACUCUAAGCAUACUGCUAAAGCAACACUGGUUUAAGGGGAAACAUUUAAAUGUCUUGGAAUGGCCUAGUCAAUGCCCAGACCUCAAUCCAACUGAGAUUCUGUGGUAUUACUUAAAGAUUGCUAUACACCAGCAGAACCCAUCCAACUUGAAGGAGCUGGAGCAGUUUUGCCUUGAAGAAUGGGCAAAAGCCCAGUAGCUAGAUGUGCCAAGCUUAUAGAGACAUUUUUUGUUUUAACCUUUAUUUAACUAGGAAAGUCAGCUAAGAACAAAUUCUUAUUUUCAAUGAUGGCCUAGGAACAGUGGAUUAACUGCCUGUUCAGGGGCAGAACAACAGAUUUUUGCCUUGCCAGCUAAGGGAUUUUAUCUUGCAACCUUCCGGUUACUAGUCCAAUGCUCUAACCACUAGGCUGCCUGCCGCCGCAAGAGACUUGUAGCUGUAAUUGCUGCAAAAGGUGGCUCUACAAAGUAUUGACUUUGGGGGGGGUGAAUAGUUACGCACUCUUAAGUUUUCAGUUUUUUUGUCUUAUUUCUUGUUUGUUUCACAAUAAAGCAUAUUUUGCAUCUUCAGGGGGGUAGGCAUGUUGUCUAUAUCAAAUGAUACAACCCCCCCCCAAAAAAACAAUUUUAAUUCCAGGUUGCAAGGUAACAAAAUAGGAAAAAUUCCAAGGGGGUGAAUACUUUCGCAAGCCACUGUAUAUGACACCCAAUCAUCCUGUGGGGUAUAGGCUAGAGAUAUUGGCGAAUCCCAUAGGAUAGGACUUCACAUUUUGAACAAUAAUGACAAAAAAAAACAUAGACAGUGUAAAUAUAACACGCUUCAUUCAUCCUACUCUUUUGAUACGAAAUGUAAAAUAGACCUUACCUGGUCACAAUGGAGUUUUGACAGGAAAUAAGGGUAAUUUAAGGAGUGCCUUUUAGCAGCAACCUGUCAAUUAAAAGCAAUAAUUGUGGUACGAGUGUCCAUUAUGAAACUUCUGUUGUCUUCCACAGCAAUGAAAAGUGUGAUAUGAAUAAAAUGACAAAAUGA